rnacentral:rRNA from 1 species
GAUGAACGCUGGCGGCGUGCCUAAUACAUGCAAGUCGAGCGAACAGACGAGGAGCUUGCUCCUCUGACGUUAGCGGCGGACGGGUGAGUAACACGUGGAUAACCUACCUAUAAGACUGGGAUAACUUCGGGAAACCGGAGCUAAUGCCGGAUAAUAUAUUGAACCGCAUGGUUCAAUAGUGAAAGACGGUUUUGCUGUCACUUAUAGAUGGAUCCGCGCCGCAUUAGCUAGUUGGUAAGGUAACGGCUUACCAAGGCGACGAUGCGUAGCCGACCUGAGAGGGUGAUCGGCCACACUGGAACUGAGACACGGUCCAGACCCCUACGGGAGGCAGCAGUAGGGAAUCUUCCGCAAUGGGCGAAAGCCUGACGGAGCAACGCCGCGUGAGUGAUGAAGGUCUUCGGAUCGUAAAACUCUGUUAUUAGGGAAGAACAAAUGUGUAAGUAACUAUGCACGUCUUGACGGUACCUAAUCAGAAAGCCACGGCUAACUACGUG